rnacentral:rRNA from 1 species
GACGAACGCUGGCGGCACGCCUAACACAUGCAAGUCGAACGGACUUACAAGAGCUUGCUUUUUUAAGUUAGUGGCGGACGGGUGAGUAACACGUGAGCAACCUGCCUCUGAGAGGGGGAUAGCUUCUGGAAACGGAUGGUAAUACCCCAUAAAAUAUAAAUAUCGCAUGAUAGAUAUAUCAAAGAAAUUCGCUCAGAGAUGGGCUCGCGUCUGAUUAGAUAGUUGGUGAGGUACCGGCUCACCAAGUCGACGAUCAGUAGCCGGACUGAGAGGUUGAACGGCCACAGUGGGACUGAGACACGGCCCAGACUCCUACGGGAGGCAGCAGUGGGGAAUAUUGCACAAUGGAGGGAACUCUGAUGCAGCGAUGCCGCGUGGAGGAAGAAGGUUUUCGGAUUGUAAACUCCUUUUAUCAGGGACGAUAAUGACGGUACCUGAAGAAAAAGCGCCGGCUAACUACGUG